rnacentral:misc_RNA from 1 species
AACGCACGAGACCUGCGGACCUGCGGAAGGAUCAUUACCGAGUUUACAACUCCCAAACCCAAUGUGAACGUUACCAAACUGUUGCCUCGGCGGGAUCUCUGCCCCGUGUGCGUCGCAGCCCCGGACCAAGGCGCCCGCCGGAGGACCAACCAAAAACUCUUUUUGUAUACCCCCUCGCGGGUUUUUAUAUAUCUGAGCCUUUCUCGGCGCCCCUUCGUGGGCGUUUCGAAAAUGAAUCAA